rnacentral:lncRNA from 1 species
CUGUAGGACACCAGAUAAAUUUGUAAAUGUCACUUAAAGAUUAAAAACAACUCUGGAAUUCAAACUUCUAGAUGACAGUGUAAAGUGCCUGGUAAAUGAUUAGUAAUAAUGUCUCUGGAGAACACACGAAGUGUGUCAGUGCACCAACUUGGAACAAGAUUUCCAGGACAAGAAAAAGCAUCAGCCACACAUGUCCAGCUGUCAGAUCUCCUUCAUCAAGGAAUAUUUGCGAGACUCAUAAAAGCAUCCGAAGAGAGAGAGAGUCGGUCGUUCUAUCCUCUGAGCAAGGAAAGAGAAGCUUGUGCAUGGCCGGUGCAUGUUCCAGAGGAAGAAAGGCAGUGGGUGAGAGGGACACUUUGGGCCAGGCAACCAGUCCCAGGAGCACCCAGAACUGCAGCCCCGCCCCGUGGCCUGCGUCUAGGCCUCUGCCAGAUCUCCUGGGCCUCUCUGCAAAGAGCUCAAGCACUGCUGGUUUCCACAGCUUUCGAACUCAGCCCGAAGCUUCCUCGGCUACACUGAGGUGCUGGCCCUGCAUCCCUGAGUCACAGCACACACCGACCACUCCAGAGCCGCUCCCCGGCUGGCAUCAUAUGCAUGGCCAGUGUCUACCAUCUCCCACCGAAGACUUUGCCCAGCUCAAGACCAAGGAGACCAGCCGUGAAGACAUAGAAUUGAAUGGAGACAUUGUACCCACCCUGACCAGCUCAGAGCCAUGGCCCAGGACAGACUACAGCCUAUCAGGAACCAGCACCACAGAGCAGGUCGUGGUGCAGGGUGCCAGGUUUCUAGCAGGCUGACCUCAGCUCCCCCAGGCCAGCGCCCUCCGUCCAGGACCCUCGAAGCCUCUUUGCCCACUACAAAGCCCUCCCGCACCCGCGCCUGACCUUCAGGCCCUCUCUCCUCUCCAGUGACGCUGCCAACUCCAGUGCCCUAGCCAGCAAUUAACUCCAUUUCACAGGUGGGUUUCGCUUUGAAAUGCUUCCUCCUUCACGCCCCCUCAGAGCCCUCAGAAGAGAUGCAGACCCAGUAGGUGGCCCUGGGGUCUGUGGAGCCCAUAACUCUUCCAAGCUCUCAAGAGCCGGAAGAAGGGAAGGGAGCUAAUUUGUUUAGGUGGGGUUUUAAAGCUGGAAGGACUCCUAAGAAUUACUAAAAUCCUUUGGUUCAUCAAAGCUGUUUGACUCUUCACUUCUUCAGAAUAAUUUGCCCACAGGGUACACAUUAUAAAUAAGGUCCUUGUCACCCACUUAAAUUGGUUGUCAUUCUAAUCGAUUCCCUUUAUGUUAGCCAGAACUCUGCAGACAAAGUGGAAGAAAAGUAGGCCAAGUUCAUUGUGUGCCAUUCAUUUGAUGUCAAGAAAAUAAAUCAUCCCAUAGCAGAACAUAUGCAAAGUUCACAGUUCAUGCCUGGCACCUUGUACUUUUAACUGGGAAUGUGCUAAUGACAGGGCAAAGUGGGGGUGUCGGGAUUUUAGAGCUACUUUCAAGCCCAGGGGAAGUUUUUGGUACCCCACAGGAUACAGAGCUUCCAAGAUGAGGACUGUGGGUCACCAGGCUGCAGAUCUCAGCAGUGCUCAGAUCCAGGAAAACGAAGCCCAGAGCCGUGAUGAACUCCACCUCCUUGCGGUAGGUCCCUCCUCCACUGAUGUGGCCUCUCAUUGGAGGGACCAUGACAAACUGCUCUCGUGAGCAGCAGCUGAACCUUUUGGGAGACCCUGGAAACCCCCAGCAGUGGAGCCUUGAGAUCAGAACUGCAGGUGGACUCGCCAAACGCAUGGGAAACACCCUCUUAAGAAAUGGGGGCAGUGGGGAGGGGUGACUUGCAAAACAAUGUCCCCUGCAAGCAGGCUCCAGUCUCGCUGGUUAAUUCAGGCAGAAAGCAACCUCUCCUAAAUACAAAGCAGGCUUCUAAUAAAUGCCGCAGUGAGGAAGGUUGGUGCCUGCCUGCUGCCCUCUGGACCCUGAACAGAUUAGAGAUGCCCGGCUUCUCCCCUUUCUCUGUCAUAGUCUGGAGACAGCGUGUGUUGAUGGACAGCUUAGCUGUGGCUACAGUGUCCAUGCCCAGCACCCAAUCGGGGAGUUGCCUGUCCCACCACAGCAGGCUUGAAUUUGAACCAACCAGCAGAAUUAAAUUUGGACCAAUCAGAGGAUCACAUUUGGACCAAUCACAGACUCGCUGCUGCUAUAGAAGCCCCAGGCCUCUGGACUCCUCUGGUAGCUAGCUAUCCAUCAUCUGCAGUGUUCUGGUGUGCUGCAGCAUGGGCCUUGUUCAAAUCAAGCCUUGCUCUGGCGGUCUUGUAAACCUAUUCAGAAUGUGUUGUAUGGACAGGGGUCUUUUUUAAAGGAGCUAUAAACUCUGGGAGCCACUGUCCUUGCAGAGCUUUCCUGAAGAGCUCCAGACUCGAGCAGCCUGUGAUGAUUGGAGACGGAGACAGUGUCCACUCCCAGGUGCAGCAAAGAGGCCAUUAGCAGUGGUGACAGCAGCCAUGUCCAGCUGCUGUCUUUCAGCUCAUCAGAGCUGCACCUGGUCAUUUCCUGACUUCUAUCAGAAUUGAGCAAAUGAUGUUCUAUUGAUCGGCACCGACUGUGUUCCCACAGGGCUCCCAUGGGGCACUCGGCACCGCACCCCUGUGCUCAUGAAGUGUCCUUUCCGGAAGUUGGGACAUGAUGAAGAGGGAACUGAAGCCCUGUCCCUUGGGCUGCCAGCCCUGUCAUCUCCAUGUCGCCCUCACCUUGGCCCUGCCCCGUACAUCCUCUUCCUUCCUGCUGGCUCGGACACCCUUGGGAGGUGCAUGCUUCACCAGGCAGCACACAGUGACCUCCCCAUGCCAGCUGAGAGGCAUUUCCAGGUCUGGGCUCAGCUCCCAGGACUGUGACCAAGUUGCCUAACAGGGCUGGGGACAAAGUCCCUUGCACCAGGGUAUGUUUCUUCUUCUCCACCUCGGCUUGCCCUGUGUUAAGAGGAUAAGGAAGUGCAACACAGAAGGAAUUAGUGAAGGCCUCUUCCGGAGAAAGCAGUGGUGAUCCAGCUGGGCAGCUGCCGUGGGCAUAUGAGGGUGCUCACGUCACCCAUCAUUCCUUGACAUGCCCAAAACACAUCCAUCUCCAAACCCUUUCUGUUUGGAAGAAGCAGUACUUGUGAGCCAUACUUUGCACCCCAAAUACCCGAUGCAGAAUGGACAGAAAAGAGAUGGAAAAGCAGUGGAUGCUGCAGGCAGCAGCUCCACCAUCAUUGAAAGAUAAAUCAGCUUGCAGGAGUUCAGCAAGAGACCAGCUUGGGCAGAGUCACAUCAAGGAAAAGAAAGUCCAGCUGUAAAUCCACAGCUCUGGACUCUGGCGCUCCCAGGGUUUUGUCUUGUCCUGCUGCCCACCCAGGGAACUGUCAUGCAGCCUGUCCUUCCUAAAUCCCACUCUUGUUUUUGUUUUCAGAACAUGCAUGCAUGGAAUGAGCUCACACCUGCCCCACUUUGGUCCCCCAGGGAAGCAGCAGAGAGCAGUGGUUGGCUUUGCAGCCACAGAGAAGACAAGAACUCAGCACAUUUUCUCCUGAGGCCUUGGCUAUAAGCAGGUUUUAUAAGAUUGGAACAAAGCCAAUUUCCUGCCAUGCUUGAGAUUUACCUAGUUUCCUGCAGCAGAGAAGGCAAGAGGCCGUCGCUAUACAGCCCUCCAGCCUUGCCUUCCUGAAGAGUCUCCUGAAGUCACUAAGUUCCCCAGGCUGGGCUUGAACUUGCAAUCUUCCUGCCUCAGCUUCCCAGAGUCCUGGGAUUAGAGGUGUGCACCACACAUGGGGCUAAAUGGAUUCCAUUUUCUCCGUGGGCUCCACACUUCUCUGUAGUCUCAGACACAGGAAGUGGGGCUGUUGUUUGUUUGCUGAUCUAUCUUCUUCCAAUUCACUCAGCCUGUCCUCUUCCGGUGACCCUGGUCCCUGUGCUUCGCUAUCUCAAGCUCACCCUGUGGUCACCAGGCAUGACCUGUGAGUGGAGCCACCUGCCUGUGCUUGCCCAGGAGAGUUCAUUUCCCACCCCAGUGCUCCUUGUCCUUGGUUUCCCCUUCCCAGCUGGCCCAGACCUUCUCCCCCUGCAUUGGAAAAUUUUAGAGGCGCAGCCAGCAUCCUAGGAGAGGGAUUUCCUGUUGUUUGUUUGUUUGUUUGUUUGUUUGUUUUGGUGCUGGGUAUCAAAUCCAGGGCCUUCACUCUGAGCUACGUUCCAGCCCCUUUUUGUUUUAUGUUUGGAGACAGGGUCUCACUAAGUUUCUAAAUUGCCCAGGAUAGGCUCCAACUUGCAACCCUUUUGCCUCAGCCUCCAAGAGUGCAGAGAUUAUAGGGUUAUACCACCACACCCAGUUUCUCUCUCCUUCUCUCCUUCUGUCCCUCUCCUCCUCUCCUUCUGUCCCUCUCCUCCUGCCUCUUUGCUGCUCUGUUUCCCAGUGGGCCUAUGGAGGAGGGAGCAGGCUGUGACACCACUGUGUCCUCCAGGAAGCAGGAGACUGGGUUUCCAGACAGACUUCAGGCUCCAUGAAGUCAUGAGCCCCGAAGCCCUGGAAGGCAGGCCUGGAAGGCUGUAUAGCAACGGCCUCUCACCUUCUCUGCUGCAGGAAACUAGGUAAAUAAAAAGGACUGGAGGUGUAGCUCAGUGUGAAGUCCCUGGCUUCAAUCUCUAGUACAUCAAGAAAAAAGAAAAAAGGGAGUCAACCUUUGUCCCAGCCCUCUGAUCUUCCCAACAGCUCUCUGGCCUAAGCUUUGCAUACAAGAACAAGAUUUAUAUAUAAACCUGUUUAGCUUUUUUUAAACAAACUUGAAAACUGGUUAGCAUCCCCCCAGUGUGGGUGGAAACAAAUUCCAAAGGUGAAAUCGAUGACCUGUGGCUAUGGAGUGACUCAAGGCUGCCUGUGUCACCUGAGCCGGGAUGGGUCACAGCUAUGUUUUGUCCACCUGGCCAUUGUGGGAGGAACCUUUCCUUCCCUAGGGAAUUCUUGCCUAUUUACUAAGACCCCACUCAGAAGCAUCCCCAGUGUUCCCCAUGUGCCCAGCAGCAGCCCUGGGAAGAGUCAGUCACAGCCACUGAGCCCAGGCAGACCCCUCCCCACAGCUGGGCUUCCAGGGCUCUGCUGUUCUGCAUAAUUCUCCCCACUGGCAUUGUCCAGGGACAGCAGAGCCCUGUGUUUGUGCUCAGGCCUCAACACAAAGGGGGCUCCUGGAAGGCUUUGCCCAAUCCCCCCUUCUCUGCAAAAGCGUUCCUCCACAGGACGUGGGACAACAAGACCAUAACACGAAACAAAAUAUGGCUGCAUCCAAAGACCCUGCAAGGCAGGCUAAGUGGGUUUUAGUUCUGUGAGCUGUUUCCCUCUUCUCAUUUUCCCACCAUCUCUCCCAGGAGUGCAAGGUUUGCUUUCUAUUCUUAAAUUCCUCCUUUGUCGAAUCUCUGUGGAUUCACUCCAGUGAACUGAAUGCAAUGAAAGAAAACAAGGUUCUUCUUGGAUUCAGGGAAAUGUGGUAAUUUUUUAUUGAUAAAAAGAACGACAUUGUUUGGCCAUGUUGGAAGUGAUUGCAAAUGUUUUGCUCAGAUUAGUUGUAAAGAUUUCACCAACAACAUCACCUACCAGGGACAAGAUCUCUGUGUUAACUCUGAGUACCAGCAGCAGUGAGGAGUUGGAAAGGAUGCAGAUGAAACAAAGGGGCUACCGGAAUGCCUCUUGGGCCCCAGACUUUCAUGCCAUUGUCUGGGGAGAAAUGCACUCAGCUCGGCCCUGGCCUGGCCCCCAGACACGGCUUCCCUGGGAAGCUCUUCAGACCAUGAGCUUGGAGAGACCCAUGCCUGUGACUAAUUGUUUAUGGUUCUCAUUGAUUGUCAAGACUCCUGACAAAAUUCUCAGAAAUAGAAACUGCAGUUGCUGCAUAUGCAAGACUUUCUCAGAGUGUUUGAGAACACUCCCAAUACAAGCCCCCUUUCCAUCUGGCAAGAGAACCCUGCAGAGAGAAAGCUCAAAGUGUACAUAGCAAUAACCAUUUCCUCCAGGAUUAGACCCUACCUGAUCAUGGCCAGAAAUAAAUGCAUCCCCGUGUAUAUGUGAGACAGCAGAUAAGUGGGCCAACCAGGUAUAUCUGGUUUUCUGAAAGAGCACAACUUUCUAACAUAGCUGCAGAAAGUAACAGUGUGACUGCCACUCCAAAACAGCUGAGACUAUUAAAGCCAAAUGGGCAGACUUCGCCUUACUGAGGGAAGAAAAUGCAGCUAAGCUUUAAACCAUUACCGUUUAUCACAUUAAAAGGCACAUAGGUUGCAGUGGGAGUUAUGUGUGUAUGUGUUCAGGUAGGAUCACCUCCGUCUGGUGCCUUGCAAAGUCUUUGCUCUAUAAAAGUCCAUCCUGAAGGCAAGAUUGAAAACCACAUGGAAACCUGUUUCCCCUCUUGAGAGUCAAAUUCUCCAUUCAUCAAGGAAAUCACUACUCUCUCCCAUAAGCUGAAGUACAGAACUCUUCAGGGAGCUGUUCAGCUCACAUGUUAAGACUCCCAGGUAUUGGAGAUUCACAGCAAAGCCCUAGUUUCAGUUACUAGGGUGGCUACAGUUUGGUAAUUGGUGGCCAUCAGGAAGAAGGAAACCGCAUAUAUAUAUAUAUAUAUAUAUAUAUAUAUAUAUAUAUAUGUGUGUGUGUGUGUGUGUGUGUGUGUGUGUGUGUGUGUGUGUACAUGUGUUUGUGUGCAUGCAUACUCACCAAAAAUCAUACAUAAACUCACAAAUAAUCUAUUUUAAUUACACCAUUCUCUUUAUGUGAAUACUUUCAUAUAAAAAGAGAAUAUGGGAAGACCGCAUGGUGCCCCUGGUCCUUAUAAACCAGAAUAGAUAUAGAGGCUAGGUAGGGUUAAGGUUAGGGGGUUAGGGUUAGGGAAUUAGGGUUAGAUGUUUAGGGUUAGGGUUAGGGAGCUAGGGUUAUUGUUCAGGGCAAGUUAAGUCAAUAAGUGACUUCAGUUGCUGCUCACUGGCAGUCAGCUAGGGCAGGGAUCCCCAACACUCUGGCCACUGCCUCUAAGGCUCCAUGUCCUGCCAGGAACCAAGGUGUGCAGUAGGAGAUUAGUGGUGAGAUAGUGAAGCUUCCCCUGUAUUUAUAGCCACUCCCCUUCAAUUGGUGGCGGCACUGGACUCUCCUAGGAGCAGAGCCCUACUGUGAAGGAGGAGUUGCUCAUGUGAAGGAGCUAGGCUGCUUGCCUCUUUGAAUCAUUCAGAUCAUCUCCCCAGUCUCUAGUCCAUGGAAAAUUAUCUUCUACAAAAUCAUUCCCUGGUGCCAAAAAGGUCGAGGGCCUCUGAACUAGAACAUUUCAUUAUUAUUUGAGAAUUUUGAUAUACGGGCCAGUGACUGAGCUUGCAUAAAAUGUGUGUUCAAACAGCAUACUUGGAAUUCUGUAAGAAUGUUUGUGGAUCUGCAGUUUUCCAAAAACCCUCAGUCCUACAAAUCAUGUCUUCCUCACACAGAUUCCCACUAGAGUAGCUAUAGAUGGAAGGGUCAACUGGGUAACAGGUGCUCCCGGCUGAACCCCUGAAUCCAAGGGAACCAUUCACCACUUCUGGGGAGCCCCCUGCCUGCCGCCACGCAGAGCCCAGCUGCCAUCCCUGCUGCAGCUAUACUUAUGUUUAUUUACCUAGCAGGCUUUCCAACAACAGGUCUUUUGAGAAGAAUUUAUACUUUGACUGGGAUGAAUUUUGGAAUCUGGGGCGAGGUGGUUUUGUGAGCAUUUGAGCCAAAAUCCCUAUUACUGAUGUCUUCUUGGGAUUUCCUCUAAGUAUUUUGGCUUUUGGCUUUCUUGAAAUAUCUCAGUUUUUCUAAAGUGGCCCUUUUAACUGUGAUAGUCACAAGGGAUAAAAUUUUUAAAAACAUCUUAAGCUUCGGGAAGGUCCUAUCUGAUGUUGAGAACUGUUAGCAAAAAACUGUUAGCAAAUGCUGCUCUAAAAUAUUGUAGAGUCCACUGACUUCUUCAACACUCAGGUGGCAGAAUUAUUUAUUGGCCUUUUGGGUCUCUUUUCCUAUCUGCGUUUGCCAGAAAUUUCCAGAAUGCAUCUUUUUUUAAUUACCAAGUUUUAUAAUUUUUUCUCCAGACUUCUGUAUAUUCUAAAUGGUCAUACUGACCAUUUAUACAUAGAAAAUUACUCUAUAGCUUACGAAAUAUAUUCACAGAUGUUAGGUAUUAUCUCAUUUAAACUUCCAUCUAAGGAAAAGAAAUAGCAAUUGUGUCUACCAUUCCCCUUCCAAAAUGUUCACCCUAUGUAUGAAAAAAGUAAAUAAAGUUGCAAGAAAAUUGCUGAAACAGAUUUUAGACUUUCUUCCACUGCAAAUUAUCUUCACUAACAGGCUAUCUUGGCUCUGCUCCAAACGGCCAGAGGCUGCUUUUGACAACUUGAUGCUUCUAAGUGACGCUGCCA